rnacentral:rRNA from 1 species
AUUGAACGCUGGCGGCAGGCUUAACACAUGCAAGUCGAGCGGAGUGAUGGUGCUUGCACUAUCACUUAGCGGCGGACGGGUGAGUAAUGCUUAGGAAUCUGCCUAUUAGUGGGGGACAACAUCUCGAAAGGGAUGCUAAUACCGCAUACGUCCUACGGGAGAAAGCAGGGGAUCACUUGUGACCUUGCGCUAAUAGAUGAGCCUAAGUCGGAUUAGCUAGUUGGUGGGGUAAAGGCCUACCAAGGCGACGAUCUGUAGCGGGUCUGAGAGGAGGAUCCGCCACACUGGGACUGAGAAACGGCCCAGACUCCUACGGGAGGCAGCAGUGGGGAAUAUUGGACAAUGGGGGGAACCCUGAUCCAGCCAUGCCGCGUGUGAAGAAGGCCUUAUGGUUGUAAAGCACUUUAAGCGAGGAGGAGGCUCUUUUGGUUAAUACCCAGGAUGAGUGGACGUUACUCGCAGAAUAAGCACCGGCUAACUCUGUGCCAGCCGCCGCCGUAA